rnacentral:rRNA from 1 species
CCUGAGAAACGGCUACCACAUCCAAGGAAGGCAGCAGGCACGCAAAUUACCCACUCCCGGCACGGGGAGGUAGUGACAAAAAAUAACGAUACGGGACUCAUCCGAGGCCCCGUAAUCGGAAUGAGAACACCCUAAAUCCUUUAACGAGGAUCUAUUGGAGGGCAAGUCUGGUGCCAGCAGCCGCGGUAAUUCCAGCUCCAAUAGCGUAUAUUAAAGUUGUUGCGGUUAAAAACUCGUAGUUGGUUCUGCGUGCCACGCUGUCGGUUCACCGCCUGCCGGUGCAACUGGCAUGCCGUGGCAUGUCCUGUCGGUGGCGGAUAGGCUUCACGGCGUGCCCUAUGCGGUAUACCAGCGUGUAGGUCGCUGCGCCGCGUUGUCCUUGUACGCCGGCUCAAUCCUACCGCGGUGCUCUUUACCGAGUGUCGAGGUAGGCCGACACUGUUUACUUUGAACAAAUUUGAGUGCUUAAAGCAGGCUCUUAAAUCAGCCUGAAUAGUGGUGCAUGGAAUAAUGGAACAGGACCUUGGUUCUAUUUUGUUGGUUUUCGGAAUCCAAGGUAAUGAUCAAUAAGGACAGGCGGGGGCAUUCGUAUUGCGACUUGGCAAAUGCUUUCGCGGUGAAAUUCUUGGACCGUCGCAAGACGACCUAGAGCGAAAGCAUUUGCCAAGUAUGUCUUAAUUGAUCAAGAACGAAAGUUAGAGGUUCGAAGGCGAUCAGAUACCGCCCUAGUUCUAACCAUAAACGAUGCCAGCCAGCGAUCCGCCGACGUUCCUCCGAUGACUCGGCGGGGAGCUUCCCGGAAACCAAAGCUUUUGGGUUCCGGGGAAGUAUGGUUGCAAAGCUGAAACUUAAAGGAAUUGACGGAAGGGCACCACCAGGAGUGGAGCCUGCGGCUUAAUUUGACUCAACACGGGAAACCUCACCAGGCCCGGACAUUGGAAGGAUUGACAGAUCGAUAGCUCUUUCUCGAUUCAGUGGGUAGUGGUGCAUGGCCGUUCUUAGUUGGUGGACUGAUUUGUCUGGUUUAUUCCGAUAACGAACGAGACUC